CCUGCAGACAGAUGCCAGAGGCAGGACGAGCACAGAUCCUGGGCUGGGGGGUGAGGCAGGCCUGUCCUCUGAGCUCCUGGCUGGGGAUCCAUCCCUCUGUCCCAGGGCACUUUCCCUGUUCUCGCUCUGCACUCUCGGCAUCAUCAGCAUCACAGAAACAACAAGCAAACUCUCUCCUCUUCCAGUUCAGAGGCUGUUUCAGAGGCGCAACUGUUUGCGAGCAUCCGGGGACAGGCUGCAGGAGGGAAGGGAGAAAGAAGGCACACGCUAGAAAGGACCACUUUGUGCAAAAGUGAACACUUGGUAAGAGGCCAAAAUUAGUCAGAGG
rnacentral:lncRNA from 1 species